GAGAGCAAGAAGGUCAGGUGGAUCCUGAGAAAUGCAGUCAGACUCCAGAGCUUGACAAGUCCUCAGUGUGCAGGAAAAUCUAAGGGAAAUGCCCACAUUAACUCAUAUUGAUGAUUACCCCAGCAGAGUCUGGACUCUCCCUCGAUUCAGUGAACACACUGGUAUGUAGUAGAGGCCAGACAGGCAUCCUGAAGCCAUAUCCUCCAACCCCACCUGUGGUUGCCUGUGAAGGGCAAUGCGCCUUGAAUGCUCUCCUCAGUGCACAUGAGGACCUGAUUCUCUAUUCGGACCCACGUGGGUUUCUCCUUGCUCCUUCCCUAAGCUUCAAGUCUAUAAAUGUUCCCUGUUCUCAAAGUGC
ensembl:lncRNA